rnacentral:lncRNA from 1 species
GGGCAGUGACCACGUGGCUGCAGGCUGCUGGCCAGCCCAGAAGCGCUUUCAAGGCAAGCAGCUUACUUUGGCCUCACAGCAUGACAGAGACUCAGGAGAUAGUGCUGCAUCAGCCAUGUCCUUUGGAGUGACCCCAUUUUGUCAGCCGUCCGCCCUGGGCCGAUGCGUCAGACCGAGAGGAGAACGGAGGUCGGGCCCUGGGGAGCCAGCGCUGGGGAAACAUGAACGCUGUGUUUAAAGGGGAGAAGGCACCCGGGAAGCACAGUGGUCCCCAAUCCGCGGCUUCACUUUCUGCGCUUUCCGGUACCGUGGUCAACGGCAGUCUCAAAAUAUUGAAC